rnacentral:lncRNA from 1 species
UGACCUCGUGGUCACUCUCUUAUUAAAUGAAGCAGAGCAGCACAAAAUAUAACAAACUUUCCUCAGUUUCUUUGAUCUGAUCUGUCGUGUUUUCCUUCAACUUCACUUCUUCAGACUUUAAAGGUGGAGAAGAUUAAGCAACACUCCUAGCAAUAUAAGCAUGAACUGGGUUUAGCUUCUUGGAUUUAAACUGCUAUAUAUGUGGAGGAAUGUCAAUUUUAGUCAUAACAUGUGAUAGAUGCCAAGGCAUGAAUGGUUUUGUGAACUUACCUACACAGAUAUUUGUGUUCUCAUCAUUGCCAUGAUUUUUU